UACAGAGGGUGCGAGCGUUAAUCGGAUUUACUGGGCGUAAAGCGUGCGUAGGCGGCUUUUUAAGUCGGAUGUGAAAUCCCUGAGCUUAACUUAGGAAGUUAGUCAUUCGUAUACUGGGAAGGCUAGAGUAUGGGAGGAGGAUGGUAGAAUUCCAGGUGGUAGCGGUGAAAUAGCGUAGAGAUCUGGAGGAAUACCGAUGGCGAAGGCAGCCAUCUGGCCUAAUACUGACGCUGAGGUACGAAAGCAUGGGGGAGCAAACAGGGAUUAGAUACCCCCGGUAGU
rnacentral:rRNA from 1 species